GACGUUUCAAAUGGUGUCAUCAAAGUUUAUAUUUGAGAGAUAAAAGUAUUUGCCAAUUUGGCCAUACCAUGAAUAAUAAUAGCCCAUGGUCCAAGGCGGAAAAAUUACAAAUUAGGGCCCUGACAAAAUUUUGGAUCGAAACACAUCAUUUGAAAGGUCUCUUUCUAAGCUUUCAGAAAAUCAUAACAUUUUGACAUUGGAUCAACGGUAUUAAAGUUAAUGGCUGUUGAAAAAUCAGGUUUGUUUUUAGAGCUAUCUUUUAGAGGCCAUCUAUUUAAAAAACUCAAAGACGCAUUCUGUAGCUCUGAGAAAGCACUAUUGUUACAAUUAAAGUGUCUUAAAACCGCUAAUUGCUCGCAGUGCCAAGGCUCACUAAUUUGUGUGUCCUAUGCUGUAGAUGUGGGAACACGGAACCAUCGUCGGUUGUGUGCAGUGUAUUAUAGUCGUACCCCCGGGUUUGAAGUGAUCCAUGGACUACUAGACCGUGUCAUGCAGCUGCUGGAGGUGUCCUUCACCAAAGAUGGCAGUGGAUACUUCCUCAAGGCAGCUGAAGACUCUACCUAUUUCCCGGGCCGUUGUGCAGAGGUGUGUGUACGUGGGAAGGUGAUCGGGAAACUGGGCGUGCUCCAUCCUGGUGUGUCUGUUGUGCAGCUCUAGUGUGUGUGAGACUGGGAGGUGUGUCUGGUGCAGCUGUUCUCACGGCCUCCUCCAACCAGUACCUGCCCUCCGUACUCUCCAGGGAGAACCUAUCUCCUCAGUUUCCUGUGCAGCCUUCCAAAUGAAAUAACACUGUAUGGGGCGUUUGACAACUUCACAUCACUGCAUUGGACGUGGUGAUCGUACAAUCAGAAUGCUCUACCCACCCCCCAGACCUCCUCACUACAACACAAGGACUCAGAUAUCUCGUGCAUGGACAAAGAUGAUGUGUACAGUUUUGGAGUGCUUGCUUGUGAAGUGGUGAAUGCCAGAUUUCCUGAAGCUGCUGUAUUUCUUGGUCUGCUAUCGAGUAUGGAAGGUGUAUGGCGGGAGCUCCACCCACUCAUCACCUCCUGUGUCUCUCACUCCCCUCAGGACAGACCCUCCAUGGACACUGUGCUACACCACAUCAAACAAUUGAACUCUGAGUCUUAGCAUUGGUGCAUGAGU